CCGAAGACUAGGUUCCAUUUGGUAAAGUUUCCAAACAAACCCUAGGGUUACCUCAAAUCAAAGCGCCUAUUAAAUUUUGAGAAAAUCCGGGUUUGACAUAGUUCUUGCUCGGCUUCACAAUAUCUCCUCUGGAGAUCCUUUUUCAAUCCGAAGCUCAGAAAGCAUCCCUUGGUAGCUUGAUCUGUGCUUUUUAUUUUAAACCUCCUUUAACAUUAUAAGAUGUCCUAGGUUUGAAGAAAGAAAAACUUGAGCUUACAACUGAGUGAUAUGUUUCUGCUGCCUGUAAUGCCCUCACAAUGAUUUCAGGAUUUCCCUUUAUAGUGAAAAUGAUGUAGUUGCUCGGGGGUUUUUGGCUCAGGUGGUAGAGGGGUAAUUAUUAUCAGAUUUGUUCUUGGGUUUGAAAAAUGUUUAUCACAACAAUGACGUGCUCAUUUUUGUGCACACAAAAAGGUUUCUUUUGUUUUGAGGUACUUCAUCUGUGCAUUCAACCAGAGUUUUUGUGCUUUUAAACUGUGGGUUUUACAUAAGGCUUUAUCAAGAUUUGUCCAAAUUAUAUCCUCUUCAGCAUUCCAUGGACCUUUGGAUUUCUCUUUCAUUCCUUCCGUUUGCUAAACUGGUCGACUGCGAACAGGAUGAAAGCAUUGAAUGUAGUUUCUGGACUAUUUAUUCUCAUAAAACUUGAAGAAAUACUCAUGGAAGAGAGAACCAAAGGUUCAUCGAGUGCUGAAUAAGUUAUCUAUAGUAUUGCCUUAUGUGAUAUGUUGUUUGGUUUUUUAUAUUAUUUCUAUUGAGUUGAAUUAGGGUUUGGGAAGUUUACUUAUCCUACACUGGUUAACCAUCUCGUUGUUGAAUUUGACCUGCCUAAAUGUAAUCACUGACCAGGUUUACUUAUAAAAACAAAAUCCUAGGUUGCUCUUAAAUUUGAGUUCUCACCUCUAUCUUCUAGUCUUCAUCUUGAUGUCCAACUUCAAUGUGAAUACACAUGUAGCCUAUUAGUAUUGGCUGUCUUUUGUUCCCUCAUAUAUUGCCCUAAAAGAUAUCUCGCAAUUUCUUUAAAUCUUUUUAGCAUCCUUGCCUAACUUGAGGGAUCAUCAUUAAAAUUGGGUGCUAGCUUCUUUGCUAAAAAAAACUUUAAAUCUUAGUUGGUCUUGGUUAAUGUUAUAUGGAUUGUAUAAAAUUGCUGCCUGUAAAUUGUAUGAAUGGCUUGGUUUUUGAAAUAUGUUUAGGCGAGAGUGAUGAUAGAUCCUUCUAAGAGGUUUACCACUUUUUGUAUUCUUGUCCUUUUCAAGAAGUUGUUAAAUUGAUCUUUUACCAAGUUUCUCCUAUGGAUCAAUGAUGUUUGUAAGAAACUGCGUUAUCUAUCUGUAAUUUCCUAGAUGGAAUUGAAGAUAACCAUAACAUUCUGAGAUCCAAUGUUAUUGUAAUAAAUAAUUUACAAUUAUUUUUUCCUGAAAAUUCUCUUUUUGUUAUCAUACACUAUUAGUAUUAGUAGCAGUUUGGACACCAUAAGUUUACAAAAACAUCAGACAAGCAUGUUGACAAAUUCAGUGGUUUUUUGUUGUUUUUUGUUGCUUAAGUUUCGAUUGUUAUAUUAAAGAGAGGUGUGAUUAACUGAAUUGUAGAUAGUAUUCACUACAUGUGCACUCUCUCUCUCUCUCUCUCUCUCUCUCUCUCUCUCUCUCUCUCCCUCAUUGCCGAGAUGGUUAAUUUGAAUGGGAUUAUCGUUUUGUCUGAAAAAAAUUCUCCUUUAGGUCGAGAAGAUAAAUCCUAUACUGUGUUGUGUCUCCUGUGAGAAUUCAUAGUUUGUAGAUGAUUUAAUCCAUAGGCUGCGAAGGAAUCUGUGUUACUC